UGCCUGGACAGAUUUCACUAUAAAUAUUGAGGACUCAAAAGGACUUACUAUAAAAUUUUGAGAGCCAAAAAAAACUGAUUUAUGAUGCCCUAUUCUCACCAAAACAUCCUAUUCUCUUUCUCAUCCAGUGUCUCACCUAUUUUCACUUGUCCCUGGGGCGCAUCUUUCCAUUUUUACAAAGGAAGAGGACAACGGAGAACCCAGUGAGCAGUCCAAAUUUGGUGGCAAUGACGGGCUCUGACAUGAACUUCCUAUGGCAUUUGGUAACCACAAGAAACACAGGGCUGGCACCCCAUGAGCCCUUUGAGUUCACUGUCUUUCUCGCCACCUCCGAAAGCCAUGGAAAUGUCUUUUUAAUACUUGAUUACUUGAAUCAUAAGUAGGUCUAACUCUGGGAACAUGCUUGCAUCAUCACUCAACUGAAUGGACCUAGACUGACUGACUCCAUGAGAUGGAACGUUUAUCAACUCAAUUUUUAAUGUGAACCUUCCGUGGAAGUUUCAGGGGAGGGAACCGUAGGGACCAAGGGCAGGCUGCCCUAAGAUGUGCCAUUGUGACAUGCAGAUUAUUUCAGAAUUGAGAAGAAUUGAGGUCCAAAAGACUCAAAAAGAAACUUUGAGACCUCCCAACCCCCAACUGCAUAAAAAGAGUUUAGGUAGAAGACCUGCUCCAGGAAGAGAGCUGUCACCAUGGAUGGCUAGAUUAUAAAGUGAACUGGGUGUGUUAGACAGGGAGGAAUAUGGCUAAGUCUGUUAAAAUACCUCUGUGCCCCCCACAUUGUUUCUGCAUGGCCCAUCAAACAUUUGCUUAUCAAACAUUUACUCCUUUCAUAUUCCCUUGAUAGCUUCUCUUUUCCUUUGAAGUCUCACACCCUUACCCCCUUCUCCUUGAUUUCAGGAUGACAUAUAUACCUCAUUCUCCCUGUAUGUUCAUAAAUAAACUUUGUUUUUUCUCCUAUUAAGAAAUAAAUUAAAAAAAGAAAAAAUAAAUAAAAACACCUGUCCUUGUUUUACAACUAUAAUCUUUAUAGGACCAAAGGUAUGGCUCCAGAAACAAUUCAAAGUCCAUCAGUUCUUUUUAUCACUCUCCAAACCUGUCCUAUUUAUUUCAAUAAAAAGCUUGCAUUUUCUUCCCCCUGGGACCUUGACGUGUAAAUGUUCUACGUGGUCUUCUCCAGAAACUCUUAUUUAGGCAGUCUCUUUAAAAUGAGAAUUUUAGGGAGGUAAUUCAUAUCAGAAGAAAGAAGAAAAGACAGAAAAGUUGUUUGGAACUUGACUUGUCAAGGACAAAUACAAAUCUUAAGAGUGUUCUCUACAAAUAUCAGAAAAAGUUUUAGUCAUCUGAGCAGGUACCUUAAUCUAUCCGUCUACCAGAAAAACAACUUACCUCCAACUUCUUUUAUAACUAGUUAAUUUUGUAUUAAUGUAUCUAAUUAAUGGCAAUAAUUUUAAAAAUGAAAGCUAUAAUAGGUGUCUGUUUGCAUAGGUCUGUAUUUCAUGUGUAUAUAUGUUGUUAAUGUGUGGUAUUUUCUGACUCUGGAUGGUAUUGACAAAAUUAAUUUGUAAAAGAGAAAGCUUUAUUUAAUAAGCUUAAAGAAAAUUAAGCACUUAUAUAAAUUAAAUUCUCAGAAAUAUAAUAGAAACUUAAUCCAAAUGAAUUUCAGAUUCCCAUGAUCUGGAAAAAUAUUGAGUACUAAAGCUAGUUUAAGUUUGUUGGUUUAAUUAAAACAGGCAUGUCUUUAGAGUUAUCAUCAUUAAAUAAAUGAACUUUUCAGUAAUACUUAUAUCUACUUAAACAGUUUCCUCAAAUCUUUGGGGCAACUUAAACUUUAGAGUUCUGCUAUGUAAUAUUAGAUGAUGGAUAGUCAUUAAAUACCUAGAUCAUUUCCAAAUAAGAUAAAAUACUGAAAUAUUAAUUACUGAACAUAGUCUCCCUGAUAUUGGCUUAUUACAAAGAAACUAAAAAAUACUUGGAUGUGUUAGUACUACAUCAGAAAAUUGAAAAAGACAUGUUUUUAGAAAUUAUGAAAUAUAUACUUAUAAAUUUGUAAAUCUAAAGAAUGCUGGUUUAACAGUUCAUAAUUGCUUAUUUCUAAGUUUUCACUAGAAAUUAAGGUUUCUAGGGUUAAGAAUUCAAAUUGCUAUAUGUAAUUAAAUCUAUUAGAAAUAUUAUAAAGGAAACGUCUUUGUAUGUACAGUAAUUAAAAUGUGUAUUUUCCUUGAAGGUAUAAAGAAUAGAAAUGCAUUUUUGAGGGAAAACAAAGUUGUAGAAAGUUUGUGAAAAAGGAAUCUUUGGAAAGGAAUUUUAUGUGUGGUCAAGAAUAAGAUUUGAAUGAAUACAUUUUAAUGGUAAAAGUCAUUGUGCAAACCUCGAAUUUGGUUUUCUCUCUGUUAAAAGGACAAAGUGUUCUUGGACUACUGGUCUGCUCUUGAUAAGAAAUUUAAAAGGUUUUUUAUCUUUUAGGUAAUCUGUUCAGAAAACAAAGAUUCUUAAUUUUGCCCAAAUAAUUUUCUGCAUUGUCUUUAUCAGGUCUUUCAUUACUUAAGAAAGCUGAACUCUUUCUAUCAAGAAAAACUAAGGCCAAAAGUUGUUCUUGACGACAGGAUAGCCCUUGAUUAUGUUUUAGCUGAGCAAGGAGGUGUCUGUGCUGUGGCCAACAUCACCUGCUAUACUUGACCUAACACUUUUGUGGAAGUUGAAACAGUUAUGUAAGAUCCCUGAGCAAGCCACUUGGCUUAAACAGGUGACUCCUUCCUUGGCAUCCUCCUGUGAUUGGCUUGGGUCUCGGGGACCAAGACAUUGGGAAUUAUCCUGCUUAUAGUUAUAAUCAUUUCCCUAAUGUGUUGUAUUUUCUCAAAAGCUUUCAAUGCACAUUCAUAGCCACUAAUCAUCAAGCAAAUAAUCUCCCUAAAAAUGAAAAAUAAAAAAAGGAACCAAAUGAAUGACUAAUUUAUAGAAAGUGAACCUGAAGCUGUGACCUGUGAGUGUCACAGGGCUUAAACCAAAAUCUCAUGACCUGUGGACACCACACAAAAGGAUCAGCAAAAUCUAUGAGAACUUCAGAGGAGUACCUGAGAGUGGCUCUAAUGCUUCAAAAUUUGAUUACAUGUCUCAGGGAAGCUGAGAGUCUGAUCAAAACAGGAAAUUGUUAAAAAGAAACCACAGGCCCAAAAUAGAGUCACUGAUUCUAGGCCAAGUCGCCAGACCAGGCUUAGUAUAUAACUUAACUGCAGUUUCAACCUACUCCAGAAAUGUAGACUUAACCUGUGGGUCAUGAAUUUUCUGCUUAUUGAAAUAAUCUGUCAAAUGAGCCCCGGCUAUCACCAGAGGGAGAUGAAAGUCCCAAACCCACCUGAAAAGACUCCAUAUACUUCCCUCUAAAAUAAUGUGACCUUGCCUGAAACUCUUUAGUUUCUUUUCCUAAUUGUCCCACCCGGUUUUUGCCUAUAAAAUCCCUCCAUUCUGCAGAGUUCCUUGGAGCAUCUCUCUAGUUGCUAGAUGGGAAACAGCCCGAUUCAUGAAUAGCUAAAUGAAUCCAAUUAGGUCUUCAAAUAUACUCCGUUGAAUAUGCGUCUUUACGAGGUGGCAGGUACAAACUGAUGGUGGUCAGUCCCCAUUACGACUGGCUGCCUGACGGGGUCAUGUGAUUCUGCUGCAGUCAAGGGUCCCCUUCCCAGAUGUCUCUUACUGGGGAAUCCCCCAGCCAGUCCACCACUUGCCCAGUUCCAGACCU